rnacentral:tRNA from 1 species
GCCUGGAGGUUGUUUCGGGCAAUUAGAGCGCUAGACUCAUAAUCUAGAGGUCCCGGGUUCAGAUCCCGGCACCGGCA